GUUUCUUUAAGUUUUGGUCAGAAUGAGAGAAUGACAAGGGUCAGUGCAGGCAAGCAAGCAAACUAGUGUCUGUCAAUUGGGCUUAAAAACUCAUAAUCACAAUACAAAUAACUUGGCAGAGUAGCAGCCUCUUCCUUUGGGGAAAGAUGUGGUCGUGUGGUAUUUCAGAAGCUAAAUCUGAGGUGCAGCUGAAUUACUGUUUGAUUCAAAAUCUUCAUAAAUGUGUUGCCAGUGAUGCUUGCUCUGCAGUGUUAGUGGGUUUUAAUACUUGUAACUUUAAUAGUGUGGAUUGAUCUCUUAUUGACGGACACAUCUUUAAACGAAUUGAUUUUCACAUAUCCCUCUUCUGUGUUGCUCACAGAUGAUUUUUGGUGCACAGUCAACCUGUUAAAAUUGGAUUAUGAUAUACUCUAGUCCUCUGUUGAUUUCCUCCGUGCUACCUUCAGUGACCAUUCCCUCAAGAAAUAACUGCAGAAUGAAAAGUUUAUUGACUGAGGGUUUGAGGACCUCUAGGCUGCCCAUUAAAUUAAACCAAGAUCCUAAGUCGUCUUUUAAAAGAAAACAGCAGGCACAAUCUCCUGGAAGUUCACUUGCUGGGAAGCAUUUAUCUCAAACUUUGGGAGGCAUCUGACAGUGACUGAAAUUGGCAUUUUGGAGCUUGCCUUGUACAGACGUCUCAUGGUAUCAGCAAAAUGUGGGUGGUGACUGAGACUAACCUGUUACCCUACCAAUAAGAAAGCAGGCUAGUAACUUCUGAAAAGUUAGUCAGUUUUUGCAGCAACAGGAUGAAUGCUGAUGGUAAACCAGACACUGGUUACUCAUACAGCAGCUGUCUGUACAGCAGCAUGGUGACUGCCAGCUGGUGGGUAGUUGCCAAUUUGAAAUGACUACUGGCUUAAGAUACAAUUAAGGGCCAAAGUUGAGCAACUUCUUAAAUGUUCUCCUCGUUUUAUCCAUGUAAUUGGGUUUAAAAUUACUGGCUGUUAGUAACUAUACAUACAUGCCUGUUCACGUGUCCUACUCUUUGGCUGCUAUAGAUACAAAGUUUUUUAUGUGUUUGAAUAAGUUUGGCUUCGGGUUCCAUGGAGCAUAGUAAAUUCCUUCCUUUGGCUCAGAAAAAUGGUUGUCUUUAGCAGGUGUGAGUAGAUUGUUGAUGAUAAUUAAUGCCUUCCACAAUCUAAUGGGCUGAAAGGAGUUGGGCAGUGUAUGUUGGGGAUAAAGUCAACAGUGUUCACAAGUCACUUAGGUACUAGAAAAAGGCGAGUCAUUUGGCUAAUGCUACUUGACUUGCUGAUGAGGAGUUGGGAUGAGGUUAGUGGGGGUUAAGAGGCAUGUGCAUCUAGGAUUGAUAUGAAUCAAAACCUAAAACAAACUUGGUAUUUAAGCAAUGCCAAUAGGAGAAUUGUGCAAAGAAAAGCAAUUGGCAAGCAACAUGAAAACUAACUUUUCAAUAAAAUGGAUAAUGGAGCUAGGAUUUCUUAAAUUCAGUAGCCUCCAUGAACCAAAAAAGUACCUCUAGUGUGGGUAUUAAAGGGAAAAUAUUUCAUUUAAUAAAGUAAAUUUACUAUGUGGGAAAUGCUCUCUCUUAUAACAGUGAGCCAUAGUCAUGGAGCAAUUGUUCGGCUCUAUGGUUGAUUAUUUAAAUGAACUUGUAACAAAAUGCCAACAGAUGUAUUAUAACACAUACAGAAAUGGCUAAUUUGAUUAAGGUUAUUACAGUUAACAUUAAGGAUCUUAAUGUUGUAAAUGAUAAAAGGCUUGAGCUGAAAUUAAAGAAAAUCUCUUGCAAAAGGAUAAUGCAGACUUGCAUUUUCUUAAAGUAGAACAAGAGCGUUCUUUCAGAGGCAGCUGGCUUCAGCACUGGAUUAGAAGAAAGAGGGAAAGGGAUUGAUUUUUUUUUCCCUCCAAUGUGGCAUUUCAACUGCAAACAAUGGAAAGACAAGGAAGAUACUUCUGAAAGGAACCCUAAUGGGAAAAAUGUGUGUUCUCGAGUCUAGAUAUACUCUUAAUCAGGAGCAGAUAGAAUUCUUUAAGGGCUUAGAGAAGGUGAACUUACUGAUAACAGUUUCAAUUCCAGAGUAAAACUGACAAGUGUGAUAACGUUUCUAUGAAAAGCUGAAUUUUUGGAAGUAAAUUCACCAGUUAUAAAGUUAAAACACUUAAAUGUUAGUGGAGACGUUGGAGACACUCCCCCAGUGAAAGGAAUAAUGUAAUCUAGUAUACAACAACCACCUUGUGGCUGGUGGAAGUCAAUGGCUAAGAAGAUACCUAUACCUGAAAGUCAACACUAAAAUGUGAAUUGGUCAAGACUAAAUUUACAAACCUUUGUAAUGGAAAAUAUUGUACUCUAGUCAUAAUUGCAGCAAUAUUAAGAUUUUUUAACAAGUUUCAUUCUUACUGAAAACACAUUUAAAAAAAAAAAAAGAAGUUAAAAUGAUAAAAC